rnacentral:tRNA from 1 species
GCCCCCGUCGUCUAACGGAUAGGACACGGGCUUGCGGAGCCCGUAAUCUGGGUUCGAAUCCCAGCGGGGGCA